AGAGUUUCAUUAUUGGAGGCAUUGAAUGGGGGUGGUGGGGAGAACGUACACAGGAUUGGUUUGGAUUAAAUUGGUGCCGAAAGUUUAUUGCCGGCAAUUAAAUGGACUACCGUUUCUUCUGUAAAGGAUCAAAGUUAUGUAUUGAGACCAUUGUGGCAGAUAAAAUUGGCCAUCCGACAUUGGAGUUUUUAUGCCAAACAAGAAGAAAUAGGACUUGUUUAUUGUGGCUGUCUGACAGUUUCGAAGUUGGUUGAGCCAAGUUAUGCAGAUCUCUAGUCCACAUUUGACACUUUGAUUUUGUUGCUUGAUUAAAACUUUGGAGGAUCGAAUUAUACAGGGAAGAAGAUCUCUCUUUGCCUUGCCUUAUAUUUAUUUUGCAAAAAUACAAUCUGAAUUUUGAUAUAUCCUAGAUUUAUUUUUCCCAAGGAAUCCUGUGGCAAAUUGGAAAGGGAAGGACUUCAAAGCGAUGCAUUGGAGUCAUCAAAGUGUCAGGCAAAGGAGAUUUGAUGGGGAUCAAAGAUUUUUGUGGCACAUGAAGAUGACUAUAUGUAUUCUUAGUGUUCUUGGAUGGCUGAUGGACUUUUAAAACAUUCGGUUGUUGAACUUUGUAUCAUAUUUUCUAGUAGCUUGGAUGGAUGAUGGAUCUUGUAAACUUUGUAUCAUAUUUUCUAGUUGCUUGGAUGGAUCUUGUAAACUUUGUAUCAUAUUUUCUAGUUAGCUUGGAUGGAUCUUGUAAACUUUGUUGAAAUGUAAACUUCAUGGAAUCUUUAUAUUUCUUGAAUUAUGA